rnacentral:rRNA from 1 species
CCUACGGGAGGCAGCAGUGGGGGAUAUUGCACAAUGGGGGAAACCCUGAUGCAGCGACGCCGCGUGGGUGAAGAAGCGCCUCGGCGCGUACAGCCCUGUCAGCCGGGAAGAAAAUGACGGUCCCUGAAGAAGAAGCCCCGGCUAACUACGUGCCAGCAGCCGCGGUAAUACGUAGGGGGCCAGCGUUAUCCGGAUUUAUUGGGUGUAAAGGGGGCGCAGACGGCGAUGAAAGCCAGGAGUGAAAGCCCGGGGCCCACCCCCGGGACUGCUCUUGGAACUGCGUGGCUAGAGUGCAGGAGGGGCAGGCGGAAUUCCUGGUGUAGCGGUGAAAUGCGUAGAUAUCAGGAGGAACACCGGUGGCGAAGGCGGCCUGCUGGACUGCAACUGACGUUGAGGCCCGAAAGCGUGGGGAGCAAACAGGAUUAGAUACCCCUGUAGUC